rfam:Schistosoma mattheei strain Denwood, Zambia genome assembly, scaffold: SMTD_scaffold0001529
AUUCAGCCGACGAGUUCCAAAUAGAACGAAACACGCGUCAUGGAU